CCAAAAAUGGGCAAACCUUUAAAGACUAUUUGUUGCGGUACUCCUUUUACCUAUUGUACAUCAUCAUGGCACUUAAUGGCACAGAUGCCAGUUGAAAAUCUUUAUUAUCUAAGAAAUUAGGAAUAUGUUACCAUAAUAUUAAUGACUAAUAAAGUGCCAGCAGUCGCGGUCACACUUUAAUUAAAAGUGAAAAAAAUUAGGGAUGUUCAUAAUGUUCUGUAAUCGUCUAAUAGUAAAAUAUGGUCUGUUACUCUCUUUCUACUACUCUUACACACCCCUCAACUACUGGUUACAAACAGGGAUUAGAUACCCCUCUAUGCAGUAAGCACAUUACACUCCCUGGGUACUACAACUAUCAGGUUAAAACCCAACUGACAUGGCGGCCGUUUGAACAAUUAGGGGAACUUACUAAGUAAAUGAUAACCACCAAGAAUAUGUACGGCAAGUUAUAUUUUACAUACCGUCGUCGUCAGAUAUACUAUAACAGAAUAUCGUACUAUUUAUAAAUAAAAAGACAGAUCGAGGUGUAGACAAUCCUGCCGUUUAAGCGAGUUACAAUAUCAUCUUAUUUCAUAAUAUAGCCUUAGUGUUAUUAGAAUUGACGGACUUAAUAGUAAUAAGUAUUGUGGAUACCUUAUGAAUACUUCUCACACGGUGC
rnacentral:rRNA from 1 species